rnacentral:rRNA from 1 species
AGUGAACGCUGGCGGUAGGCCUAACACAUGCAAGUCGAACGGCAGCACAGUAAGAGCUUGCUCUUACGGGUGGCGGGUGGCGGACGGGUGAGGAAUACAUCGGAAUCUACUUUUUCGUGGGGGAUAACGUAGGGAAACUUACGCUAAUACCGCAUACGACCUACGGGUGAAAGCAGGGGAUCUUCGGACCUUGCGCGAUUGAAUGAGCCGGUGUCGGAUUAGCUAGUUGGCGGGGUAAAGGCCCACCAAGGCGACGAUCCGUAGCUGGUCUGAGAGGAUGAUCGGCCACACUGGAACUGAGACACGGUCCAGACUCCUACGGGAGGCAGCAGUGGGGAAUAUUGGACAAUGGGCGCAAGCCUGAUCCAGCCAUACCGCGUGGGUGAAGAAGGCCUUCGGGUUGUAAAGCCCUUUUGUUGGGAAAGAAAAGCAGCAGGUUAAUACCCCGCUGUUCCGACGGUACCCAAAGAAUAAGCACCGGCUAACUUCGUG